rnacentral:misc_RNA from 1 species
ACGAAGAAAAACGGGCGCGCCCCCGGUUUCGAUCGGGGGCCGCUUCGCUACCUCUUCCUCACCCUGUGCACCGUGACCUUUUUUUCGCGCCUUAGUCGAAGUCGGGGAUGUAGUGAAACGAUAAAAUGAAAGGCAU